rnacentral:rRNA from 1 species
CAACUACCCUGGUGGAGAGGAUAACCUCGGGAAACUGAGGAUAAGACCUCAUAGGUGCCCGACGCUGGAAUGCCCGGGCACCGAAACGCUCCGGCGCCACAGGACGUGGCUGCGGCCGAUUAGGUUGACGGUGGGGUAAAGGCCCACCGUGCCCAUAAUCGGUACGGGUUGUGAGAGCAAGAGCCCGGAGAUGGACUCUGAGACACGAGUCCAGGCCCUACGGGGCGCAGCAGGCGCGAAACCUUUACACUGUACGAGAGUGCGAUAAGGGGAUCCCAAGUGCCCGCGCCUAGCGUGGGCUUUUCCGAACCGUAAAAUGGUUCAGGAAUAAGGGCUGGGAAAGACCGGUGCCAGCCGCCGCGGUAACACCGGCAGCUCGAGUGAUGGCCGAUUUUAUUGGGCCUAAAGCGUCCGUAGCCUGCCGUACGGGUCCGUCGGGAAAUCCGCCCGCUCAACGGGCGGACGUCCGGCGGAAACCAUACGGCUUGGGACCAGAGGACCCGAGGGGUACGUCGGGGGUAGGAGUGAAAUCCCGAGAUCCUCGACGGACCGCCGGUGGCGAAAGCGCCUCGGGAAGAUGGAUCCGACGGUCAGGGACGAAAGCUUGGGUCUCGAACCGGAUUAGAUACCCGGGUAGUCCAAGCUGUAAACGAUGCUCGCUAGGUGUGGCGUAGGCUA